rnacentral:SRP_RNA from 1 species
UUCCGGUCCCCCCGCAAUGAUCAACUGCGAACCCCGCCAGGCCCGGAAGGGAGCAACGGUAGUGGUGACAUCAUGUGCCGGGGUGCGGCUGGCUUGG